rnacentral:lncRNA from 1 species
AUUUUUUCAUACAAAAUUCCAAAAUCUAAAAGCAUUAUACCAACAUUAAUAUUGAAGGUGAACCGUAAUCAAGUUUAAUAGAUCUAUUGCACGAUCCUAGAUCCACGGAAGGAAGAAAUAGAAAAGAUUACAGUCCGCUGUUCCAUGGUCGGCGCAAGGAAAUCGAUUUUAAUCAGUGGUUAAUAUGAAAUAUGAUAGCAAAGUGGCCGAACGCGAGAAAGGAAACUCUUCGGUUGAUUCGCGUGAUAGAUACACAAUUAUUCGGCGAAGAAGACUCACUGCAUUGUCAAAGUGAAACGAUUUCCCGACUUGAUGGAAAAUUAGUUUCGCGCGUAAAUUGCCCGGAACCGUGAUUCACCGAUUUUCUUCGAUCACACCUGCUACUUAAUCAAGCAGAUUCCCGUAGGGGCAGCCAUACUCUCGAGGAACACCCUUCUGAACGCCGGAAGCGACCUUCUUCUGUGACACAAGACAAAGAAAGCUCGCUUUUCAUCACUACCGCGAGAUUAAACGAUGGCCGGACCGCCCCGUGGAUCUCCCGUAACAUUAGAUCCAGAGUGGCAUUGCAUUUCGCACGGUUUCCUCAAUUUCCUGGCAAUUCCCUGUAUUCAUGAAGCUAAAGUUGUCCGAUGGCAGCCAGGAGACUUUUCUUUUGAUGCCUUUGACGAUGGAAAAAUUCAUUAGUGGAAUGAAUUGAUCGAAAUGAUACAAAAAUUAAUAAUUCGUAUUAUUUUAUAUAUAAAUAUUUUACGUAAAUAUAAUUUUAAAAACUUACGUAAAUAUAAUUAAAUAUGGAAUUGUUAGAACUGCAAGAUCACUAGUUGCUAAGUUUCUGAUAAACUUGAUCUGAUUCACAGUUUUCUAGCCUUGCAUAAUUGCAUGGGAAAAGAGGGCGGAAAAUAUUUUCAGAUUCACUGAGGAUAUACCAAAAGAUAAUAAUAAUAUCAAAUGCAGGUUUCUUGCUUUGACGAUGUCCUUCCUCCGCAAAAUCUCUCGCGGAUGGGCGACGGAAGGGAAACCCAUUUCCACGGUAGAAAUCGAGUUUGACUUGGAAAUCCUCUGGGAAGAGAAGUCUCUCGGUUUCGUUUCCUUACGAAUGUAUCGACUUGAUGUGCCCUUUGAAAAUACGUCAAUCCGCAUAUCCAAAGAUAUGUAUGUCUCCCGUAUCUUUUCGGUUUUCCUUAAGCCGAGUAGUCACGUGCCACUGUACGAGGUUUGAGAAGUUCAAAAGACGCACGCAACGUUUGUCACUGAAAAGAAAAGACAUAGAUAUUACUUUCAAAUUAUAUCGUACAAAAUGAGAACUCAUAUAACGACACUCUUUGAAAGCCUGCCAAAGCUAUUAUGAGAAAUAAUUUGCAUAGAUAUACGAUUGAAGCAAUCUUUCUUCAUGAUAUAUUACAAUGAAGAGGAAAUAGCGAAGCGGAUACCUUCCAUAGAAAAAAAAGAAAAUCUAUGUGUGAGUAUAUGCGAAGAGAAAGGAGAGUAUGUAUGUACAUACGUUACGCUUGCAUUCUUCAAUAACAUCUUUUUUCUCAUAUCAAUCAUCUCAAAGAGAGACAUGAUCAACAUGUUGACUGCUUAACGAGUUUUAUACAUCACAUUAAAAUUUAUGUUUGAAUCAAAUAAAAUACAUCGUAAUAUGUAAAAAAUAUAUAUGAUCAAAAAUACAAAUCGUGAUUCUUCAGUUCAGUAACGAAUGUACUGCUUAAUUUACAUGCAUCACCCUUAUUAUCCUUAUGUUAUUUACGGUUUUAUAAGAAAUAGAGUUUAUUUGUCGAAAAAUAAAUCGAAACAGUUUUAAACAAUUCCGAGUGCCAGUUACAGGUAGCAUAACAAUCAAUAAUUAUAUAGACGUUAUUGAAAAGUGAGUGCCGGUCCCCGGUGAUCUCUUUAACGUGUUAAAGAAACUAUUGUAUAGAAUGAAUAACGGAUUGUAAAAAUGACUGACAUUGUGACGUUUCUAAAAAUAAAUAGACGCCACUGUUCUCGGUCCAUUCGAAAGGAAGGACCUAAAAGAUGGCAAAGAUGGCUGAUAAAUAGAAAACGAGAGAGAGAAAGAGAGGAGAGGAAGGAGGAAGGGGAGAGAAAGAGGGAGAGACAAAUACGAUGUGCGAUAGAGCGAGCUCAUUGUCGAUCGAUCACGCGCCAAGUUAUUCCGCCGCACGCCAUUAAAUUCCGCUUCCCGUCUCGUCGACAAGGAGAAAGGAUAAUGACAUCAGUGUACUCUGUCUCCUGCUCCAGACUAUAAGCCAUGUUUACCUGACAAAUCCUAUUUUUGACUCGUACGUGAAAACCAUUUUCUCGGGCGAAAUUCAAUUUUGAUGCAACACAUAGUCGUCGAUCUUCCAUCUUAUUCAUUAUUCAUCUUCGAUAUUGACAUCUACGAUUUCUGUGCAGUUUUUAAUAAAAACUUAAUACGUGGAAAGAGAAAGGAAAUUUUUAGUAGAAGAUAUCGUGCA